rnacentral:rRNA from 1 species
GGAUUAGGCAUGCAAGUCGUACGAGAAAGUCACCUUCGGGUGGCGAGUAAAGUGGCGAACGGGUGAGUAACGCGUGGGAAACCUGCCCUCUGAGAUGGGGAUAACACUCCUAACGGGGUGCUAAUACCGAAUGAGACCACGAAGCUGCAUGGCUUUGCGGUUAAAGGUGGCCUCUACUUGUAAGCUACCGCUUGAGGAUGGUCCCGCGUCCCAUUAGCUAGUUGGUGGGGUAAAAGCCUACCAAGGCUCCGAUGGGUAGCUGGUCUGAGAGGAUGGUCAGCCACACUGGGACUGAGAUACGGCCCAGACUCCUACGGGAGGCAGCAGUCGAGAGGCUUCGGCAAUGGGGGAAACCCUGACCGAGCGACGCCGCGUGGGCGAUGAAGGCCGUAAGGUUGUAAAGCCCUGUCAGGAGGGAAGAACGCAAACGUGCAAACAGUGCGUUUGUUUGACGGUACCUCCAGAGGAAGCUCCGGCUAACUCCGUGCCAGCAGCCGCGGUAAUA